CAGGUUGAAUAUCUAGGUGCAGAGUUGUUUGGUCUUGGGAUGAGUGUACGCUGACUUUGUAAGAAACUGCCAAACUACUUUUCACAGUGGUGGUACUAGUCAAGAUUCUGGCAGCAGUAUAGAAUUUGAAACACUUCACUCUAAACUCUGGCUGCUUUUACUGGCUGCUGUCUUGAUGUGUCUCCUCUCAGCCACACCAACCUGCCGUGGAGCCAGCUGAUUAUGGACUGAAACCUCCACAAACAGCUAAGUAAAUCUUUCAUUCCUUCAUUUUGGGUGUCAGAUAUAUCAUUCCAGCAACAAGAAAAAAGUAACCAGGACAGAAGGGAUCAAGUUCUUAAUAUCACCUAAAUAAGGUGCAGACUCAAAAAGAGGUGUUGGGCUCAAGAAAAGAUUUUCUACUACUAAAGCAUACAACAGUGUCGUAAAGAUUCAAGGUUAUGACAUCAUGCACCAGAAUAACAUAGUCUUGGUAUGCACAAAGCAGACAUAGAGCUCAUUAAAGAGAAAAAGGUGAAAUACUGUAGGAGCCAUGACAAAUGUGGAGGCCAGCAGAAUAAGGCUUGCAGCCCACUGCUGCUUAGUGACCCUGUGUUCUUCCCCUGGCGGAGCAGGAAGAGAGGCAGGUGUAAUUACACCCACGCACACUCAGCCUGUAGCUAGGUGGGGGCUCUGUUGUGAAGGAGGGACUGUUGAGUCAAGAAAAAAAAUAAACAAAUAAAACUCACAUUUAAAAUUAAACAAUACAAAACAAAAACAAAAACCUACCACUAGAAAAUUUUAAACAUUUUCCCUUUAAUAAAUCAUGAGUCAACGAGAAAACAGACACCUAAGUGGUCUUCGCAUGUGUGCAGGACGAGAGUGGGGCUUAUUCCGGUAGCUCCAUGCCCAGAUUGCUGCCUUUCAGCGGGUGCAUCCUUUCAGCUCUGGGAGAAGCCUCCUGUUUUACACAUCCUUCUCCCGCGGCUCUCAGCGCAUGAGCCUCCAAGUUUGGGCAUCAAUCAUUUGUCUCUUAACAAAUUAUUCCAAAGUAAUAGGAAAGGUGUAAAGGAAUGCACAUUUCGUUGCGUUGUGCACUUUCCCCUGCUUUCUUGGCGGCCUUACUGCCUGAACAAGUGCACUGGUAAUUGUAGUUUAAUUACUUCCUGUGCUGCCAUUAGGUAACCAUCAUGGUAACGGGGCACAGAUUUUGCUAUUACUUUUUUUUAACUUAGAAAUGGACCACAACAUCCCCCCCCCCGCACACACACACACACACACACACACACACACUAGUGUGUUUAUAGUUAAUGUGAUCAAAAAUACAGUAAGUGCUUAAUUUAUAUUAAAGAACAAUUUAUUGCAGUAAAAGACACAUUGCAAUGAACUUCCCUCAAAAUUCUGCCCCUUGUUUAAAAAAUGCUUAUUUGUCAUUCUUGCCUUGCUCUGAAGCUGCUCUGAAAGUCUUCUUUUAUUCCUUUAGUUGCACUAUUGUAGCUGCCUCAAUGUCCUGAAUAGAUUCAAAACACUAGGUCUUCUACGCAGUGUACAUGUCCAACAGAAGAUGCAUGGAUAAGGAAAAUGUGGCAUUUAUACACAGUAGAGUACUACAUUCCCAUGAAGAAGCAUAAACUUGAGAAAUUCGUAGGACGUUUUGACAUGAAAAGAGCCGGAAGUUACAUCGCGCUGGACCUGAGGAAGGAAGGCAUGAAGAUUCGCCUGUGUGUGUCUUUACCGCCUGCCUCUCCUCCAUGGCUCUCAGCCACAGCCUUUACUGAGUUUUUCAUCACCUUAUAAAGACACUCAGGAAACAGGACUUCUAGGGCCGCUCCAGAAAGUGACCAGAACAAUGGGAUAAACGUGUUCAAAGUGAGGCCAAGUCUUUUGAGCGAUUCCUGGCAAUGCGUCUUUUACUAAGUUUACUGUUAGGUGUGCAGAUUAUUAUCAGCGUGUGCGAUUUAUUAGUACACAGUUCUUUUCUUUCUUUUUUUUGUCUUUUUUCCUUUUUAUCGGUACCAGGGAUCGAACUCACGACUGCCUGCUUGCAAGGCAGGCGCUUAUGCAGCUGAGCUAAAUCCCCAGCCCCUUAUUAGUACACAGUUGUCUUCCGACCUCUCCCAGUUAGCUUUUAGCACACUUAAAUUUGGUCUGCUGCUACUUGCUUAGUGCAGUUCUCAAUAAAUCCUGUUGAAGAAAAGAAAAUUAUUUUGAAUUCUAAAUCUGUGCAAUUGGCCAACAGCUCAGCCCAUGUUGGUUUCUAGUCCUUAUUUAGGGUUCUGGGGGACUAGUUUGACCUCACUGACCUAGGUUUCCAGACUCUGUUUCCUCUCCCAUUUGAUUGAUAAAUACUUUCCUAUAGGAGGCCAAACACCUCACUGUCAGUGCCUUCUAGGUCCAACCAGGAGAGCUGUGCAAAAUUCGUGUCAAGAAGGUUGUGACUUUCAAAAUACUUUCCUUUCUAGAGGCUGUUAUCUGUGACACUAAUUUUACUCUGAGUGGGAUGGGCAGAAUCUUUGGCACAGAGGCCUGUCGGAGUCACACUGCCAUGCUGCAUCUCUGGUCUUUGAGGCACAAUUUUCCUGGCAAGAGAGACCCAGGUUCCUGUCGGUGUCUCCUGGCCCGCGGGCACCUUCUGAUGGGGACUGUGCGAGGGAGGAGGCAGAGCUUCCCCGUUUCCGGAGGAACAGGACUGGGGCUGCUCUCACCGCCCUUCCAGGGAGCUAAAUAUAUUUGCCACUGGUGAGCUGUUUGUAAUUAAUGUGUGCUUUGUGGUUUUAAUCUUUCUUUAAUCUGCAAAGCUAUAAAAAUUUACAGCACAAUUUUAGAAUCAAGAAAAAGCUAAGUUGCCUGGUAGAGUCCUUAAAGAUACCCUGUUUUCCUAGAUCAAAACUGCCAGGGGUGGUGCAGGAAGGCUCUUCCUGAGCUGUCCUGCUGGCUUCUCUUGGUGGUCUUGUUUUGGCCCUACCCAGGAGUCAUCGGAAGCAGGAGAAUCAUCUCUCCAAAGAAAAUAAACAAUACAGUGUGUGCCAUAUAAAACGAAGGGAAGAAAAGAACAUCUUAGGUAAAUACCAGACUACUUAUUUUAUGAUUUUUAAAUGUCAUUUUUGCUCCAAUAUUGACUUUUUAUGGAGGAUGAAUUAUAGAUCUGUAGUGCGGGGGAGAUGGGUUUCUUUUUCUUUGACGCAGCCGGUCAAGUUAAGCAUUGAAGUCUGGUAAUUAGUUAGGAGUUUCUUAGCCCACUGAGAAAACUGGGAGGUGACCCUCGGGAGAAGACAAUACACCCAGGAAAGAGCCAGAAUGGGCCAGAAAGAAGCACAAAACAACAUCCCAAUCUUGUUGCUACAAACAGAUGUUGCCGCGGGCACUUGCCUGCAAGAACAAAAUACAAUACCGAUCCCUCGCGUGUCUGACUGGGUUUCUGUCUCUGAAAAGGAGUUUGGAGGCAAAUUAUUUCAGGGUUGUAAGGGCUGGUAAAAGGCAGGGAGAUUGGAAGUGCUUGUCAUCUUUGGUGACCUAAGGUCUCAGAAAUGAGGCUGAGAGAAGCAAAAGGGGUUGAGCUGGGGUCAAGGGGAGACCUGGAACCAGCAGUGGGGUCAAAGGAUGGCGGAGACAACCACAUUUCCAAGCAAAGUUUUCAAAAACCUAGCUAGAAGGAGCAGAUCUGAACUGAGGUUUCUGGAGGGCAGUCACAGGAGGCUAAAGGGGAAAGAAAGAGAGAGAAAACCGAGUUAGUCCCCCCCUGCCCUGCCCUCCACUCGGAUUUUGAUUGUUCUCUUACUGUCUAUGUACAAGACAUGCAGACUUAAAGCAAUGUAGAUUGAAUUAGUUCAAUUCAAUUUACAUAGACAAAAAGAAGUUAAUUCAGACAAAGGGGUUAGGAUUCA